GGUGCCUCUAUCAGAGAGAAUGAAGUCUGGGACUCCCCAACGAGUUAAGAUUUCUUUUCUGAGAAUUGUUGCAACAUUUUGAGCGGUAGCGUUACGCAUGGGGAAGAACUCAACCCAUCGUGAGUAAUAAUCCACAAAAACCAGUUUCUGGUUAUCAUGUCGAAGGAUUUGGCAUUUCACACAUUCCUUGACAUGAUGUUUCACAUCCGUCCACAUCCCUGGCCAAAACGUUACUUCCUGGAGUCGUUUAUAGGUCUUAUAAAUUCCUCUAUGACCACUCAGGGGGUGUGAAUGAUAAUGUUGCAGGAGAGUUGGCCGGAGACUGCUGGGAACAUACACUCUGUAGUGUAUUUGAUCAUUUUUCAGAACAAUAUCGGUCACUGGAAGCUCUGAAAGUUGAUCCGUCUGUUGCUUGGUGUAAAGUGCUGUGAUAGGAGUCUUUGCUGUGACUGAUGACCUGGACAGAGCAUCAGGGGCGACGUUUAAUUUCCCUUUACGGUAUUCAAUGACAAAGUUGAAUUUUUGCAAUCUUAAGACCCAUCGGAUGAGGCGGCUGUUGGGUUUUAGUGGAUCCCAUGACCCAUUGCAGAGCGGAAUGGUCUGUGACAACCGUGAAAAGCUUGUAUUCCAGUUCUUUUCUCUGCGAGAGAAUGGCUCCCAGUCCAGUAUCACUGGCAUCUGUGUAAACAAUGAACGGGACUUGCAGAUCAGGGUGGCCGAGAAUGGGGGGCGAGGGAAUUGAGGGGCUCAGCAAUUUUAGAAAAAUUUGGCACAAACCGAUGGUACCAACCGGCUAAUCCCAAGAACCUCUGAACUUCCUUCAAGGUGUUGGGAGCAGGAAAGGCACGAAUGGCUUCAACUUUACUUGGAUCAGCUGUGAUGCCCUUAUUGCUCACCACGUGUCCUAGAAAGCUCCCCCAGGACUGUCUCCAUCAGCCUCUGGAAGGUAGCAGGGGCAUUUUUUAACCCGAAAGGCAUGACAUUGAAGUGAUACAGACCUGCAGACACGAUAAAAGCAGUCUUGGCUUUACUAUCAGGGUCCAUCAUCACUUGCCAAUAUCAACAGUUAAGGUCUAGAGUGGAGAAAAUGGAUGCCCCGGAGAGUGAUUCUAGGAUCUCAGUGAUGUUCGGAAGAGGAACUACAGGUGAGGCCCAAGCAGAAUGUGAUGGCUCCACAAUCCCCUCUUUCAACAUUACUUCCAAUUGUUCCUCCAUUGCUUGUUGCUUGACAGGGGAUAACCGAUAUGGCCGUUGUUUGAUAGGAACCUGGCAGGUAGUAUAGAUGUAAUGUUGUAGGACAUCCGUUCGCCCAGUUUGGUGAGUACAUACUUGUGGGUUUGCUUUCUAAUAUCUGAAGUAGCUGUUGUUUUCCACCCAUAGGUAGAUGUGCUUUACUUACAGCAUCUCUAAUUAAGGUUGCAUCAUCCACACUGUCAGUUUGUAACAUGGUUAAGGGAGGAGGAACAGCACUUAACAAGAGGCUGCUACAGUGUUAUUGGAUGGUCGGCCUCCUGACUUUGCAGAGUGGUGAGAAUACUUUUCAUGGGUGAAAUGUUGUUGAUGUUGACCAGAAGACUGCGGAGAAGGAGGAUGUACAUACUUUGGACAGUUUCCUGGAGGAUGCGGUCCGUUACA